AGAGUUUGAUCCUGGCUCAGAGUGAACGCUGGCGGCAGGCCUAACACAUGCAAGUCGAGCGGCAGCGCGGGGGCAACCCUGGCGGCGAGCGGCGGACGGGUGAGGAAUUCGUCGGAAUCUGCCUUUUUGUGGGGGAUAACGUAGGGAAACUUACGCUAAUACCGCAUACGACCUACGGGUGAAAGUGGGGGACCUUCGGGCCUCACGCAGAAAGAUGAGCCGACGACCGAUUAGCUAGUUGGUGGGGUAAAGGCCCACCAAGGCGACGAUCGGUAGCUGGUCUGAGAGGAUGAUCAGCCACACUGGGACUGAGACACGGCCCAGACUCCUACGGGAGGCAGCAGUGGGGAAUAUUGGACAAUGGGCGCAAGCCUGAUCCAGCCAUGCCGCGUGUGUGAAGAAGGCCUUCGGGUUGUAAAGCACUUUUGUUCGGGAAGAAAUCUUGCAGUUUAAUACGCUGCGAGGCUGACGGUACCGGAAGAAUAAGCACCGGCUAACUUCGUGCCAGCCGCCGCGGUAAUAC
rnacentral:rRNA from 1 species